UCUUACGGGAGGCAGCAGUGGGGAAUUUUGCGCAAUGGGCGAAAGCCUGACGCAGCAACGCCGCGUGGAGGAUGAAGUUCUUUGGAUUGUAAACUCCUGUCAGCAGGGAAGAAGGCCUCGGCGAAGAGCCCGAGGAUUGACGGUACCUGCAGAGGAAGCCCCGGCU
rnacentral:rRNA from 1 species